rnacentral:rRNA from 1 species
AUUAAAUAGCCGCAGUAUCUUGACUGUGCGAAGGUAGCAUAAUAAUUUGUCUUUUAAUUGAAGGCUGGUAUGAAUGGUUUGAUGAGGGAAUAGCUUUCUUUAUAUUAUAUAUUGAAUUUAAUUUUUAGGUUAAAAAGCUUAAAUAAUUAAAUGGGACGAGAAGACCCUAUAGAAUUUUAUUUUAAAGUUUUUAUUUAUUUUUUGGUUAUUAUAAAUCUUUAUUUAAAUUCUUUGAAAUUUUGUUGGGGUGAUGUUGAGAUUUAUGAAACUCUCAUAUUUUAUGGUUUAAAUAUAAUUAUUUUUAGGAUCCUUUUUUAUGGAUAUAUAGAUUAAAUUACCUUAGGGAUAACAGCGUAAUUUUUCUGGAGAGUUCUUAUCGAUGGAGAAGUUUGCGACCUCGAUGUUGGAUUAAAAUUAGAUUUAAGUGCAGAAGCUUAAUS